UACUCCUACGGGAGGCAGCAGUGGGGAAUAUUGCACAAUGGGGGGAACCCUGAUGCAGCCAUGCCGCGUGUCUGAAGAAGGCCUUCGGGUUGUAAAGGACUUUUGUUAGGGAAGAAAAGCCGGGUGAUAAUACCACCUGGUGCUGACGGUACCUAAAGAAUAAGCACCGGCUAACUACGUGCCAGCAGCCGCGGUAAUAAUC
rnacentral:rRNA from 1 species